rnacentral:rRNA from 1 species
GAUGAACGCUGGCGGCGUGCCUAAUACAUGCAAGUCGAGCGAACAGACGAGGAGCUUGCUCCUCUGACGUUAGCGGCGGACGGGUGAGUAACACGUGGAUAACCUACCUAUAAGACUGGGAUAACUUCGGGAAACCGGAGCUAAUACCGGAUAAUAUAUUGAACCGCAUGGUUCAAUAGUGAAAGACGGUUUUGCUGUCACUUAUAGAUGGAUCCGCGCCGCAUUAGCUAGUUGGUAAGGUAACGGCUUACCAAGGCAACGAUGCGUAGCCGACCUGAGAGGGUGAUCGGCCACACUGGAACUGAGACACGGUCCAGACUCCUACGGGAGGCAGCAUUAGGGAAUCUUCCGCAAUGGGCGAAAGCCUGACGGAGCAACGCCGCGUGAGUGAUGAAGGUCUUCGGAUCGUAAAACUCUGUUAUUAGGGAAGAACAAAUGUGUAAGUAACUAUGCACGUCUUGACGGUACCUAAUCAGAAAGCCACGGCUAACUACGUG